rnacentral:rRNA from 1 species
CCCAGACAGCCAGGAUGUUGGCUUAGAAGCAGCCAUCAUUUAAAGAAAGCGUAAUAGCUCACUGGUCGAGUCGGCCUGCGCGGAAGAUGUAACGGGGCUAAACCAUGCACCGAAGCUGCGGCAGCGACGCUUAUGCGUUGUUGGGUAGGGGAGCGUUCUGUAAGCCUGCGAAGGUGUGCUGUGAGGCAUGCUGGAGGUAUCAGAAGUGCGAAUGCUGACAUAAGUAACGAUAAAGCGGGUGAAAAGCCCGCUCGCCGGAAGACCAAGGGUUCCUGUCCAACGUUAAUCGGGGCAGGGUGAGUCGACCCCUAAGG